AAAGAGUUUAUUCCAGAUCAGCAAAGACUUGCAAAUUGAGAUCUACAGCCAUGAUGAGCCACAUGCAAGUCUACAGCAAAAAAAUGAGUUGAAGUCUUUUCCUUGAGAUGGAGAAAUCCUUCAUGGGAAGCCUUCACUGGUGAAGAGGGGAGCGCUCCACAGACCCAGCAACUAGACCGAUUGUGGAAUGCAGUGUUAAGAAUGAGCCCAGGGCAGGAAGGCAUUGUCUUAAGGGUCAAACGGCAGACUCAGGACUUUUGGAGUCAGCAGAAGCAGGCCCACAUAGAUUAUCAGGCCCAUCUGUGUUUUCCAGUUGGCAGAAGUUAACAAAGAUUAAUGAUGCUAUGCUGCCUACAAGCAUGUAGACCCCAGA
ensembl:lncRNA